CCUACGGGUGGCUGCAGUGGGGAAUAUUGGACAAUGGGGGGAACCCUGAUCCAGCCAUGCCGCGUGUGUGAAGAAGGCCCUCGGGUUGUAAAGCACUUUCAGUGAGGAAGAACGCCUGGUGGUUAAUACCCAUCAGGAAAGACAUCACUCACAGAAGAAGCACCGGCUAACUCCGUGCCAGCAGCCGCGGUAAUACGGAGGGUGCGAGCGUUAAUCGGAAUUACUGGGCGUAAAGCGCGCGUAGGUGGCUUGAUAAGCCGGUUGUGAAAGCCCCGGGCUCAACCUGGGAACGGCAUCCGGAACUGUCAAGCUAGAGUGCAGGAGAGGAAGGUAGAAUUCCCGGUGUAGCGGUGGAAUGCGUAGAGAUCGGGAGGAAUACCAGUGGCGAAGGCGGCCUUCUGGACUGACACUGACACUGAGGUGCGAAAGCGUGGGUAGCAAACAGGAUUAGAUACCCCUGUAGUC
rnacentral:rRNA from 1 species